rnacentral:rRNA from 1 species
UACGGGGGGGGGCAAGCGUUGUUCGGAAUUACUGGGCGUAAAGGGCUCGUAGGCGGCCAACUAAGUCGGAUGUGAAAUCCCCAGGCUUAACCUGGGAACUGCAUCCGAUACUGGAUGGCUUGAAUUCGGGAGAGGGAUGCAGAAUUCCAGGUGUAGCGGUGAAAUGCGUAGAUAUCGAGAGGAACACCGGUGGCGAAGGCGGCAUCCUGGACCAACACUGACGCUGAUGAGCGAAAGCCAGGGGAGCAAACGGG